GCGCAUUCUCAGGGCAGGGUGAAAUUCCCUACCGGCGGUAAAGCCCGCGAGCACUUAAAAGUGCGGUCAAUUUUAACCGCACUUUUGAGGUUAGCAGAUUUGGUGAAAUUCCAAAGCCGACAGUAUAGUCUGGAUGAAAGAGAAUAAAG
rnacentral:ncRNA from 1 species